rnacentral:snoRNA from 7 species
UGGAGGACUGAGAAGGUAAGACAGUUUUAACUUGGUACUGUAUCUUACUGGUUAUGGCCUCCGAAAUUAUAAGGGUGCAAUGGCAAUUCAUGUUUCCCUCCCGACAUGAGGGAAAGCGAUGCUGCAUUUG